UUUCUCCAUGCACUCUCAGCACAGACAGACCGGUGGAAAUACUACAGUGCGCGCACAAACACACGCACUCUAGUCUACACACAUUCCACAGACACUUGCAGACGCUUGUGUAACGCGGACUCCACUAGAUACCGUAGCAGCUGGUGCUGCGAACUCAAGUCAACAAGAGGAAACAUCCACGAGCCGUGACAUCCUCGGAGUCGGCUCCGUUUACACAUCCGUACUCCACUCGCAUACUCAGACAGACAAGGACUCUUUCGGGACAGCUUCAGUGUUACUGUCUACCUUUGCGAAAUUUCUAUAAACCAAGAAGGAUUGAAACACAGAUUUUGAUAUCAUUUUUCAGUGCGUGUUGGAGCGCCUAUAUAUUAUCUUUGUGGCAUGUUGUAGCGCACCGCCAGAGGAAGACAGCGACCAUACACAUGCUGGCUGGACACCGGUCCCUAGGUCAAGUUCAGUCUCUGACCCCCACCCCUCACCUUUGACCCCUCACCUCGGAUGGAAGAACGCACCCAUUCCUUUAGGAGGUUGAAGUUGAUGAGUUCCCCCAGCCUCAGUGACCUGGGGAAGAGUGACAAGGCAGCGUUGGAGGAGAGAGGGACACAGCAGAGAAAAGCUGGGGCUAACGCCACCUGGAACAGCAUCCACAAUGCGGUGAUAGCUGUGUUCCAGAGGAAAGACCUGGGAGAGAAUGACCUCUACAUCCUCAAUGAGGGAGUCAGGCAACUACUGAAGACAGAGCUGGGCUCUUUCUUCACCGAAUACCUCCAGAAUCAGCUGCUGACAAAGGGAAUGGUGAUACUGAGGGACAAAAUGCGUUUCUAUGAAGGUCAGAAGCUAUUGGACUCCUUGGCAGAGACGUGGGACUUCUUCUUCUGUGAUGUUCUGUCCAUGCUUCAGGCUAUCUUCUACCCAGUACAGGGUAAGGAGCCGUCGGUGCGGCAGCUGGCCCUGCUUCACUUCAGGAGCAUUAUCACUCUGAACAUCAAGCUGGAGGACGCCCUGUCCCGCCCCCGCGCCCGUGUCCCCCCCUCUAUCAUACAGAUGUUACUGAUACUGCAGGGUGUCCAUGAGUCUAAAGGAGUGACUGAGGAGUACCUGCGUCUGGAAGCUUUGGUUCAGAAGGUGGUGUCUCCAUACCUGGGAACCCACGGCCUCUACUCCAACGACGGAUCCUCAAUGCAAUACUCCUCCUGCGUACUGGAAAAGCGUCUGCAGCGGUGCUGGCCCAAGUCAGGCGACGCCCCCGUGAAGAACCCGGUGAUGCGCUCCAAGUCCUACAACGUGCCCAUGUUGACGCCUGUGGUGGAGUAUGAUACAGAGACAGGCUCCGUGAGCAGCAUGGGCAUCCGCCGCCAUUCCGUCUGCGAGAUGACUUCCUGUCUGGAAGAAGGCGCCAUCAACGACAUCAGCACCACUUCCUCCCUGGCCUCCGCGGCCCAGCCGGGCCUCUCCUCCCUGGGGCAGGAGCUCAGCCUGACAGGGGUUGUUUGUGGUGGAGGUGGUGGAAGUCUGGAUCUCUGUGGGUCUGUGGGGUCUGAGUCUUUGGGGUUCCACCUCCAGCCCUCCAUCUUUCAGGCCUCUCACUCCCCAGGACCCUUCCUACACGGCGGGGGGGAGUCGACGGUGUCCCCCUCUGUUCUGUGUCAGGUCCACUCUGGUUCAGAGACGGGGUCGAUCCCCAGCUGUUCCUCCAGCCCGGAGACAGUGGUAGAUCAGAUACUGGACUCUAUGGACUCUGACCCUGAUGGCAUCUUCAUAGACUUCUCCCUCCACAGCUGCUCAGACUCCUCAUCCUCUGGUUACAGCAGGGAGAGUGGUAGACAGAGUGUGGUGUAAUUUGGGGUUUUCUGGUAACUAAUCACAGUUGGAUGAUCUAUGUGAUUGCCUGCUUAUUCACUACUGAUUUUCUGGAAAAUCUGUGACUAGUGAGAAAGUGUCUGGAGAUUUGCAGCCCUAGAGGUCUGAUGAAUCUCAAGGGAUUAUCACACGUACUGACACCAUCUGUACUCCACUCACACUGUCGUCUCUAAAAACACACCGCUCUUUCUGGGGUCUAUUUUUCAUGGAAUAUUUCUACAGUAAAUGACCUUUUAUUUAAAAAAAAUGUUUUGCUUGAUUUUCACUUCUAGUGCUUCAUUUUGAGGAUUAACUGUACUUAUUUGUAUUUGUUUUACUGAUGAUCAGUGACUGACAACUUUGAAACAGUCUGAGGUGUCUCUUCAAGUCUUGUGGAAAGGAAACAGUCUGAGGUGUCUCUUCAAGUCUUGUGGAAGGAAACAGUCUGAGGUGUCUCUUCAGGUCUUGUGGAAGGAAACAGUCUGAGGUGUCUCUUCAGGUCUUGUGGAAGGAAACAGUCUGAGGUGUCUCUUCAGGUCUUGUGGAAGGAAACAGUCUGAGGUGUCUCUUCAGGUCUUGUGGAAAGGAAACAGUCUGAGGUGUCUCUUCAAGUCUUGUGGAAGGAAACAGUCUGAGGUGUCUCUUCAGGUCUUGUGGAAGGAAACAGUCUGAGGUGUCUCUUCAGGUCUUGUGGAAGGAAACAGUCUGAGGUGUCUCUUCAGGUCUUGUGGAAGGAAACAGUCUGAGGUGUCUCUUCAGGUCUUGUGGAAAGGAAACAGUCUGAGGUCUCUCUUCAAGUCUUGUGGAAAGGAAACAGUCUGAGGUGUCUCUUCAAGUCUUGUGGAAAGGAAACAGUCUGAGGUGUCUCUUCAGGUCUUGUGGAAGGAAACAGUCUGAGGUGUCUCUUCAGGUCUUGUGGAAGGAAACAGUCUGAGGUGUCUCUUCAGGUCUUCAAGGCCCAGUGGAAAGGAGGAGAGAUCAAUCAGACCAAGCUGAGCUCUCUGGGAUGAGCCACACCUGGUUCACCAGAGUUCAUUGCUUUUGCAACAUGUCUCUUGUUCAAGAGGCAGUGCUGGGGAGAGGAGAUAAGAUAGUGUUCACAUGGCUUCAUUUUAAGCAGUAGGUAUCGUGUAGGCCUGGGUGAUAUUUCUGCCACAGUGAUCUGUGGCUGGGCCUUUGUUUCUGCUUCAACAUCGCCCCCAUGUGGACAGGAUGUGCAAGUGCCUGCUGCGCCAGAGUCAAAUCUUUAAUGUUAAAUACACAAAGAGAUGUGUUUUGGAACGUGAAGGGAUCUGGUGGCUCAGUGGUAAGGAUCUCACCCCAUAAGCAUGGCGUCGUAGGUAUGUUUCCUGACAAAGCCUGGAGGACUGUGACAACUGCUGGGGGUUUCCCCUCCUGUGAACAGCAGCAGUUAUGGGGGAAAACCUCUGGGAAAAGUAGACCUGUAGGUUUUAAAAAAGAUCCAUUUGAAAAUUAAGGGUCAACUUUCUCAGAGGUUUAUGACCACAACACAUCCUGAUCCAGAGCUGUGACUUGAACCUACAACCCUGAACAUAUGGGGUGAGAUCUUUACACCAGAGCCCCAGACUCCUUCACACCUCUAACUGUUUUCUUUGUUAUUUUCACGUUGAGAAUUGCUGAAAUUACCAAUAACUCAAACCUAAGAUUUGAACCCAUAACCUCUAUGGUUGAAGAUAGGAAAUGAACCUCAAAGCCACAGACUCUCACACUUCUAGCUCUUCUUACUACGAUCCAAAUAGUUAAACACAUGCCUUCUCUCAACUAAUGAUUUACUGAGAUCGUUUGUAUUGUAAAUGACCUUGUAUGACACAGCCAUGUACAAUUUAUGGAGUUGGUUUUAUGAUUUUCUAAACACAAUGACACGUUGAAAUGUAUUGCCAUUAAUUAUUGUAGCACUUGAUGGACAAGUCAUUCUGAUUUGAUCUCAUGAUUAUGUCAAACGGAACCUCAACUCAAACUUGACAUUUAAUGCAGAAUUUUUGUUGGUCUGUUCAAGAUUCUGGGCGCGAUUCAAUCCGUAGUGCUGAAGAUCUGCUUACAGCGCGAUUCAAUCCGUAGUGCUGAAGAUCUGCUGUAGUGUGAUUCAAUCCGUAGUGCUGAAGAUCUGCUGUACAGCGCGAUUCAAUCCGCAGUGUUGAAGAUCUGCUGUACAGCGCGAUUCAAUCCGCAGUGCUGAAGAUCUGCUGUAGUGUGAUUCAAUCCACAGUGCUGAAGAUCUGCUGUACAGCUUGAUUCAAUCCGCAGUGCUGAAGAUCUGCUGUACAGCGUGAUUCAAUCCGCAGUGCUGAAGAUCUGCUGUACAGCGUGAUUCAAUCCGCAGUGCUGAAGAUCUGCUGUACAGCGUGAUUCAAUCCGUAGUGCUGAAGAUCUGCUGUACAGCGUGAUUCAAUCCGUAGUGCUGAAGAUCUG